rnacentral:rRNA from 1 species
CCUACGGGGGGCAGCAGUGAGGAAUAUUGGUCAAUGGGCGGGAGCCUGAACCAGCCAAGCCGCGUGAAGGAAGAAGGCGCGAGGGGUUGUAAACUUCGUUUGUCGGGGAAUAAAGCGCGCCACGCGUGGCUUUUUGUGUGUACCCUAUGAAAAAGCAUCGGCUAACUCCGUGCCAGCAGCCGCGGUAAUACGGAGGAUGCGAGCGUUAUCCGGAUUUAUUGGGUUUAAAGGGUGCGUAGGCGGUCGGGAAAGUCAGCGGUAAAAGCUCGGGGCUAAACCCCGGCGUGCCGUUGAAACUGUCGGGCUCGAGGCGGCUAGAAGUGGGCGGAAUGCGCGGUGUAGCGGUGAAAUGCAUAGAUAUCGCGAAGAACUCCGAUUGCGAAGGCAGUGUACCGGAGUGGGCCUGACGCUGAGGCACGAACGCGUGGGUCUCGAAC